GGCUCGGUGGCGGAUGGUCCACGUCUGCUUUCCAUUGUCCACGGGGACUACUUCAUGGCUUUGCAGAAAACGCUCGUUCGAUUCGGGCCUGAGCCA